ensembl:misc_RNA Metazoa_SRP Metazoan signal recognition particle RNA
UCUGGGUGCAGUGGCAUGCGUACCUGUAGUCCUGGCCACUUGGGAGACUGAGGCAGGAGGCUCACUUGAGCCCAGGAGUUCAGAGUUGUAGCCGAUUAGGUGUCUGCACUAAGCUUGCCAUCAAUAUAGUGACUUCCUGGGAGUGGAGGACGACAGGUUUCCUAAGGAGGGGUGAACUGGUCCAGGUUGGAAACAAGGGAAUGUUAAAAAUACCAUGGGCACGGUAGCUCACACCUGUAAUCCUAGCACUUUGGGAGGCUGCAGCAGGAGGAUCAAUUGAGCCCAGGAGUUGGAGAUCAGCCUGAGUAAUGCAGUGAGACCCUGUCCCUA